UACGUAGGGUGCUAGCGUUGUUCGGAAUCAUUGGGCGUAAAGCGCGUGUAGGCGGUUAGUUAAGUCAGAUGUGAAAUCCCUGGGCUCAACCGAGGAAGUGCAUUUGAAACUAAUUAGCUAGAAGAUGGUAGAGGAAGGUGGAAUUCCAAGUGUAGAGGUGAAAUUCGUAGAUAUUUGGAGGAAUACCGGGUGGCGAAGGCGGCCUUCUGGGCAGUAGCUGACACUGAGGCGCGCACGUGGGGGAGCAAACAGG
rnacentral:rRNA from 1 species